AUGCUCGCUUAGGCAGCACAUAUCUGGAAAUUGGAACCAUACAGAGAAGAUUACCAUAGCCCCUGCACAAGGAUGACAUACACAUUCAUGAAGCAUUACAUAUUUUU